rnacentral:rRNA from 1 species
UACGUAGGGUGCAAGCGUUGUCCGGAAUUAUUGGGCGUAAAGAGCUCGUAGGCGGCUUGUCGCGUCGGCUGUGAAAACCUGCAGCUUAACUGUGGGCGUGCGGUCGAUACGGGCAUCACUGGAGUUCGGCAGGGGAGACUGGAAUUCCUGGUGUAGCGGUGAAAUGCGCAGAUAUCAGGAGGAACACCGGUGGCGAAGGCGGGUCUCUGGGCCGAUACUGACGCUGAGGAGCGAAAGCGUGGGGAGCGAACAGG